CCCUUAGAUGUCCUGGGCCGCACGCGCGCUACACUGAGUGUGUGAGAUACGAGUCUGCCUGGUCCGGCAAGGUCUAGGUAAUCGCUAAAAGACACAUCAUGCUUGGGAUAGAUUAUUGCAAAUAUUAAUCUUGAACGAGGAAUUCCUAGUAAGCGCAAGUCAACAGCUUGCGUUGAUUACGUCCCUGCCCUUUGUACACACCGCCCGUCGCUACUACUGAUUGGAUGUUUAAGCGAGGUUCUCGAACUGCUAGCGACUUAGCUUCGGUGAGGUCGCAGUGUGGGAAGUGAACCUAGCUUUGGUGUCUAGAGGAAGUAAAAGUCGUAACA
rnacentral:rRNA from 1 species